rnacentral:tRNA from 1 species
CGGUAGCUCAGCUGGAUAGAGCAUCAGACUUCGAAUCUGAGGGUCACGAGUUCGAAUCUUGUCCG